rnacentral:rRNA from 1 species
GAUGAACGCUGGCGGCGUGCCUAAUACAUGCAAGUCGAGCGAACGGACGAGAAGCUUGCUUCUCUGAUGUUAGCGGCGGACGGGUGAGUAACACGUGGAUAACCUACCCAUAAGACUGGGAUAACUUCGGGAAACCGGAGCUAAUACCGGAUAAUAUUUUGAACCGCAUGGUUCAAAAGUGAAAGACGGUCUUGCUGUCACUUAUAGAUGGAUCCGCGCUGCAUUAGCUAGUUGGUAAGGUAACGGCUUACCAAGGCGACGAUGCAUAGCCGACCUGAGAGGGUGAUCGGCCACACUGGAACUGAGACACGGUCCAGACUCCUACGGGAGGCAGCAGUAGGGAAUCUUCCGCAAUGGGCGAAAGCCUGACGGAGCAACGCCGCGUGAGUGAUGAAGGUCUUCGGAUCGUAAAACUCUGUUAUUAGGGAAGAACAUAUGUGUAAGUAACUGUGCGCAUCUUGACGGUACCUAAUCAGAAAGCCACGGCUAACUACGUGCCAGCAGCCGCGGUAAUACGUAGGUGGCAAGCGUUAUCCGGAAUUAUUGGGCGUAAAGCGCGCGUAGGCGGUUUUUUAAGUCUGAUGUGAAAGCCCACGGCUCAACCGUGGAGGGUCAUUGGAAACUGGAAAACUUGAGUGCAGAAGAGGAAAGUGGAAUUCCAUGUGUAGCGGUGAAAUGCGCAGAGAUAUGGAGGAACACCAGUGGCGAAGGCGACUUUCUGGUCUGUAACUGACGCUGAUGUGCGAAAGCGUGGGGAUCAAACAGGAUUAGAUACCCUGGUAGUCCACGCCGUAAACGAUGAGUGCUAAGUGUUAGGGGGUUUCCGCCCCUUAGUGCUGCAGCUAACGCAUUAAGCACUCCGCCUGGGGAGUACGACCGCAAGGUUGAAACUCAAAGGAAUUGACGGGGACCCGCACAAGCGGUGGAGCAUGUGGUUUAAUUCGAAGCAACGCGAAGAACCUUACCAAAUCUUGACAUCCUUUGACAACUCUAGAGAUAGAGCCUUCCCCUUCGGGGGACAAAGUGACAGGUGGUGCAUGGUUGUCGUCAGCUCGUGUCGUGAGAUGUUGGGUUAAGUCCCGCAACGAGCGCAACCCUUAAGCUUAGUUGCCAUCAUUAAGUUGGGCACUCUAAGUUGACUGCCGGUGACAAACCGGAGGAAGGUGGGGAUGACGUCAAAUCAUCAUGCCCCUUAUGAUUUGGGCUACACACGUGCUACAAUGGACAAUACAAAGGGCAGCGAAACCGCGAGGUCAAGCAAAUCCCAUAAAGUUGUUCUCAGUUCGGAUUGUAGUCUGCAACUCGACUACAUGAAGCUGGAAUCGCUAGUAAUCGUAGAUCAGCAUGCUACGGUGAAUACGUUCCCGGGUCU